UACGAAGGGGGCUAGCGUUGCUCGGAAUCACUGGGCGUAAAGCACACGUAGGCGGCUUACUAAGUCAGGGGUGAAAUCCUGGAGCUCAACUCCAGAACUGCCUUUGAUACUGGUGAGCUUGAGUCCGGAAGAGGUGAGUGGAACUGCGAGUGUAGAGGUGAAAUUCGUAGAUAUUCGCAAGAACACCAGUGGCGAAGGCGGCUCACUGGUCCGGUACUGACGCUGAGGUGCGAAAGCGUGGGGAGCAAACAGG
rnacentral:rRNA from 1 species